UGGGGAAUAUUGGGCAAUGGGGGAAACCCUGACCCAGCAACGCCGCGUGAAGGAAGAAGGCUUUCGGGUUGUAAACUUCUUUUACCAGGGACGAAGAAAGUGACGGUACCUGGAGAAAAAGCCACGGCUAACUACGUGCCAGCAGCCGCGGUAAUACGUAGGUGGCAAGCGUUGUCCGGAUUUACUGGGUGUAAAGGGCGUGUAGGCGGAGAUGCAAGUCAGAUGUGAAAUCCUCGGGCUUAACCCGGGAACUGCAUUUGAAACUGUAUCCCUUGAGUAUCGGAGAGGCAGGCGGAAUUCCUAGUGUAGCGGUGAAAUGCGUAGAUAUUAGGAGGAACACCAGUGGCGAAGGCGGCCUGCUGGACGACAACUGACGCUGAGGCGCGAAAGCGUGGGGAGCAAACA
rnacentral:rRNA from 1 species